rnacentral:rRNA from 1 species
GAACCGUGCGAACGUUGUUCGGAAUCACUGGGCUUAAAGGGCGCGUAGGCGGCUCUCUGAGUCGGGGGUGAAAGCCCGCAGCUCAACUGCGGAAGUGCCUUCGAUACUGGAGGGCUGGAGGGAGGUAGGGGUCCGCGGAACUUCUGGUGGAGCGGUGAAAUGCGUUGAUAUCAGAAGGAACGCCGGUGGCGAAAGCGGCGGACUGGACCUUUUCUGACGCUGAGGCGCGAAAGCCAGGGGAGCAAACGGGAUUAGAUACCCCGGUAGUCCUGGCCCUAAACGAUGGGGACUAGGUUGUGGGCUUAUCAUGGGCUCACAGCCGAAGCAAAAGUGUUAAGUCCCCCGCCUGGGGAGUAUGGUCGCAAGGCUGAA